rnacentral:lncRNA from 1 species
CCAGAGAGUCCUGUCUCUCGUUAUGGACACAAAAGAAAAGCCAUGUGAGGACACAGAGAGAAGGUGGCUGUCUACGAGCUAGGAAGAAAGGCCUCACCAGAAACCAACCCUCACAGCAGCUCGAUCUUGGACUUCCGACCUCCGGAACUGUGAGAAAAUAAAUGUUUGCGAUUAAGGUCGGUUGUAUUUUGUUAAGGCCAUCCUAGCAAAUGAAUACAGGCUCUUUCCUAACAUUGUCUCUUUAAGAGCUCACCAGCCUGAGGUAGGAAUCAUUCCAUCUGUGUUACUAAUGAGACCGCUGAGGAUCAAAGGGGUUUUCCACCACAUCCACUGACCUCUACAUGGCGAAAACCAAAGGUUCACUCUCUGUCUUCAGGGAGCUCCACCCAGCAGCAGCGUUUGACAGAGCUGUUCACUUCCUCUUCCUGGAGCUGUGGCUUCCAGAGUCCAUGCUCAGCAGUUCCCCUCCUUCUUCGGCUGCUUCUCUCUUAGGCUCAAAAGCUGUAACAAUGCAUGGCACACAGAAGAUGUGAGAAUUUGCUGAAUAACUGAAUGGCACCAUGUUGCCUCACCUAAGGAUAAUGACUAAGAAUAGGAAAAAUUUACUGUGCAAAGAUCAGUUGUUAAUAGCUGUCUAUAUCUCAGAACAAGAAAAAUUAGAUGUAAACCAUUGCACAAAGGAUUAGAUGAAUUUUUUUUUAAAAAAUCAGACAUUGGAGGCUCAGAGCCACUCAGACAUUGGGAAGCAAGUUUGUCAAGAUGACAGAGAACCGAGGUAAUGGAUUCGAGUGAUGAAACAGGAAGUUCAUUCAUGAGUUUUUGGCCACACCUCCAAAGUGACGACUUGGCCAGAAAUGGGAUAACUGGAUUUCCCUACUUCUCUUUGAUCAUCCUCAAUGAGAGUGACCAAAUAUUAGAGCUAGAUGGAACCUUAGUGAAAAUCUGGCUACUCGUCCCGUCCCACCAGCCUGCCACCCGUUUCAAGUUUGAAGAGACAAAGACACAAGGACCUUAUGUAAUUACUGGGGAUUACCCCAGGAGUCUGUGGCAAAAGUCAGCUUCUUCCCUCCCUGCUUCCCCGCCCUGUCUCUGGUGCUUUCUACCAACACUAGGCUGUUUCUGUGAUCAUACUUAAGCGUACCUAACCUGUGAAUGUUGUACAGAAGCUGCUAAUGAACAUGAUUUAGCUUUAACACUCAGUUUUCUAAAGGGACACGUGGGGGCAGCAAAUGUUUAG